UGAAAAGAACUUUGAAGAGAGAGUCAAAUAGUACGUGAAACCACUCAGAGGUAAACGGGUAGAGCUGAAGUCAGCGCUCAGAAUUUAGCCAAAUGCAUGCGCUAGUGUUGUGAGGGAAGACCCUUUAAAGGGGCUUCUUUUGUGAUGCUUGGUGUAUGUGUUUGGUGCACUUUCUGGGCGUUAAAACUGCGACCGAUGCCUAGGUUGGACUGUCAUUCAGAGAAGGUGGUGCUUAGCCUUCGGGUUGGGCAUGUUAUAGCUCUGGAUAUGGUGGCCUCUGACUGAACAUCGGGAUCAGCGGUCUGGCAACAUUUGGUGUCCGCUUCGCAAGAAUGGACUUUGCAUUGACUAUUUUUAGUGAAUCAUUGUCUCACGAUUGUGUGCGGGCAUUGAUAGUCAGUCCCAUAGUCUGCAGUGUGCGAGUAGGUCAUCUACCCGACCCGUCUUGAAACACGGACCAAGGAGUUCAGUAUAUGCGCGAGUCAAUGGGCGUUACGAAACCCUACGGCGAAAUGAAAGUAAAGGCAAGCCUUGUGUUUGCUGUCAUGGGAUCCCAAGACUACGGUCAAGGGCGCACCAUGGGCCUGUGCUUCGAUCCUUGUGAUCAGUGCAGCGCUUGAGCGCAUAUACUGAGACCCGAAAGAUGGUGACCUAUACUUGUUCAGGUUGAAGCCAGAGGAAACUCUGGUGGAGGACCGCAGCAGUUCUGACGUGCAAAUCGAUUGUCAGAAAUGAGUAUAGGGGCGAAAGACUAAUCGAACCAUCUAGUAGCUGGUUCCCUCCGAAGUUUCCCUCAGGAUAGCUGGUACUCGUUUGAAUUAGUUUAACCCGGUAAAGCGAAUGAUUAGAGGUCCUGGGGACGAAAUGUCCUCAACCUAUUCUCAAACUUUAAAUGGGUUAGACGGCUUUGUCACUUAAUUGGACAUUGUCAUUGAAUAAGAGUACCUAGUGGGCCAUUUUUGGUAAGCAGAACUGGCGCUGUGGGAUGAACCAAACGUUCAGUUAAGGUGCCUAACGCGGUCGCUCAUCAGAUACCAGAAAAGGUGUUGGUUGAUAUAGACAGCAGGACGGUGGCCCUGGAAGUCGGAAUCCGCUAAGGAGUGUGUAACAACUCACCUGCCGAAUCAACCAGCCCUGAAAAUGGAUGGCGCUUUAGCGAUGGACCUAUACUGGACCGACAUAGCAAUGGUUUUGACGUAUGGACGCUAUGUCGAGUAGGAGGGUCGCCGUAGUAGCGUAGAAGCUUAUGCCGUAAGGCAGAGUGGAGCUGCUACGGGAGCAGAUCUUGGUGGCAGUAGCA
rnacentral:rRNA from 1 species